GAGGCAGAUCCUGCAGCUCCGAAACACCCUCCAAGCUUCACGUUGCCACACGGUUCUGGGAGAUGAGGCCAUGGCAAUCUGUGGCUUCCCUUGCUCCUGAACUUGAGCCUCUGAUUCCCUCUCCUGUUGGAGGCUUUAACACGAGUCUGACUGUGUCACCCAGGCUGGAGUGCAGUGGCGUGAUCUCGGCUUACUACAACCUCUGCCUCCUGGGUUCAAGCAAUUCUCCUGCCUCAGCCUCCAGAGUAGCUGGGAUUACAGCACCCCUCCCACAAGCUAGCAGGAGGGUGGAAGUGAGGAUGAAGGAUCCUUGUGGAAGCUGAGUCCAGCCCAGGAUGCCUCUGCCCACUUCUGCUCUGCUCUUAGCACAGGUGCCUGGCUCCCACCUGUUGAGUUACAGGCCACUGACUUCCAAGUCAGGCCAGGAGGUCAGUCAUCUUUUCCACCGAUCCUCUGCCCUGAGCUGAGUUAUCUCGCAC
rnacentral:lncRNA from 1 species